AAUCAAGUGCCUUAAGGGUGUUCGGUGGAUGCCUUGGCGCUGAGAGGCGAUGAAGGACGUGCUACGCUGCGAUAAGCCGUGGGGAGCUGCGAAGAAGCUUUGAUCCACGGAUUUCCGAAUGGGGAAACCCACCUUCGAUAGCUGGAACUCCAAGAUCUCGUAUCUUGGGGUUUGAACAGCAAUGUUUGAGACCAAGCCGUGAGGUUUUGGAUUUCCAGUUAUCAAGUGAAGGUAUGAGACUUCCGAAUAAAAUAGGAGGUUUUAAGCGAACCCAGGGAACUGAAACAUCUAAGUACCUGGAGGAAAGGACAUCAAUCGAGACUCCGUUAGUAGUGGCGAGCGAACGCGGACCAGGCC
rnacentral:rRNA from 1 species